CCUACGGGAGGCAGCAGUGAGGAAUAUUGGACAAUGGGCGCAAGCCUGAUCCAGCCAUGCCGCGUGCAGGAAGACGCAUCUAUGGUGUGUAAACUGCUUUUGUACGGGAAGAAACACUCCUUCGUGAAGGAGCUUGACGGUACCGUAAGAAUAAGGAUCGGCUAACUCCGUGCCAGCAGCCGCGGUAAUACGGAGGAUCCAAGCGUUAUCCGGAAUCAUUGGGUUUAAAGGGUCCGUAGGCGGUUUAAUAAGUCAGUGGUGAAAUCUGGUCGCUCAACGAUCAAACGGCCAUUGAUACUGUUAGACUUGAAUUACUAGGAAGUAACUAGAAUAUGUAGUGUAGCGGUGAAGUGCUUAGAUAUUACAUGGAAUACCAAUUGCGAAGGCAGGUUACUACUAGUGGAUUGACGCUGAUGGACGAAAGCGUGGGGAGCGAACAGGAUUAGAUACCCUGGUAGUCCACGCCGUAAACGAUGGAUACUAGCUGUUGGGCGCAAGUUCAGUGGCUAAGCGAAAGUGAUAAGUAUCCCACCUGGGGAGUACGUUCGCAAGAAUGAAACUCAAAGGAAUUGACGGCNGAGAGNGACGAGACGACGACGAGGGAGGAGG
rnacentral:rRNA from 1 species